UCUCGAACUCAGAGCCGACUGGUGACAUGUCUCCGUUCGGGCUGGCUACACACCGGCCGGCCGGGUACCCAAACGCCAUCUCGGAGCAGUCACCGCAGGCUGGAGCCUUAUCCCUGCCUCGACCUUCAGGAAGACCGUCCGGUCCAGGCCCCCGGGGAGCAACCCUACUCCCAACCACGCACUUUCCCGCCAGUGGCCUGCGGGCGUAGUGGGCGUGGCGUUCAUAUCCCCCACUAGCCGCAGGGGCUUCCAAGGUGGAACACACCGGCUCUAGGAACUCUGGAGCUGGGCGACGGGGUCCGCCCGAGCCCUUCCUCAGUUGCGCCAACCCCGGAAGCAGAGCGUCGGAGGGAGUUUACCGCGGGUCACGCAUGUCCGGGAGCCGAGUCCGCGGCAGUUUCUUCAGGCUGGCGGGCGAGUGGGGAAGCUUUUCAGGCAGGGCAGCCACAUCUGAGGACCAGAGCCAUGCUGAGGAGCCAGAGCCUGUGACCUCCAUUUCCAUCCAGCUGAAGCCAGCUACCAUCCUCAGCAGCUGACAUCACGAGAAAGAUUUGGGGACCUUGGGAAAGUACUCAAGGGAUCCUUUCCCUGAGAUGUGGAACGUCGGGGCAGAAUGCUGAGGGCCCUCCUAUCUGGCCUGGGGUGGAGGGGAGGCAUUUGGGGCUGCACCUUCAGCUCACAGCAACCCCAUCUGCCUCCGGCUCGGUUGUUGAAUGCCACAGAACUAGUCAGCCACUGGACAGUGGUCUUUAAGAAAAGGGGCAUCCCUGAGGCCCGGGAAUCCAGUGAGUACAUCGUGGCUCAUGUCCUUGGAGCCAAAACAUUUCAGAGCCUGAGGCCAGGACUUUGGACCCAGCCCCUGAGCCCUUGGCAGUUACAGUAUGUCCAGGAGCUGAGUAGCUACCGAUUGCAAAGGAUGCCUGUGCAGUACAUCCUUGGUGAGUGGGACUUUCAGGGCCUCAGUCUGAAGAUGGCGCCCCCAGUGUUCAUCCCUCGGCCAGAAACGGAGGAGCUGGUUGAAUGGGUUCUGGAGGAGGUGACCCAAGGGCCCCAUGUGGUGGGAGCUCAAGGUGGCCCCCUCAUCCUGGAGGUGGGCUGUGGAUCAGGAGCCAUUUCCCUCAGCCUGCUGAGCAAGCUCCCACAGAGCCGAGUCAUUGCUGUGGACAAGGGAGAAGCUGCCGUCUGCCUGGCCCAUGAGAAUGCUCAGAGGCUUCGGUUGCAAGACAGGAUUCGGAUCAUCCCCUUCGAUGUGACCUUAGAGGGGAGCUGGGCACAUCUUCUACCCUGGGGCCCUGUGGACCUGGUCGUCAGCAACCCUCCCUACGUCUUCCACCGGGACAUGGAGAAGCUGGCCCCUGAGAUCCUCAGCUAUGAAGAUCCACUAGCCCUGGACGGUGGGGAGGAGGGCAUGGACAUCAUUACCCACAUCCUGGCCCUGGCACCUCGGCUCCUGAAGGACUCUGGAAGCAUCUUCUUGGAAGUGGACUCAAGACACCCAGAGCUCGUCGGCAGCUGGCUUCAGAGCCAGCCUGACCUGUCCCUCCAUCUUGUGGCUGUGCGCAGGGACUUCUGUGGGAGGAACUGGGAAGGCUCUGAGAUUUCACCCAACUCAACAAGCUAACAAGUUGCCAUAUUCCUGAGGAUGUUGGCUGAAGACACAGAUUCCUGCUUGAGAAACAAAGACCUGUCCUGCAAGUAAUGCAGGGGAGCCACAUGAAGGAAGAAGUUUCCUUACCCAGAAUCGAUACUGUUGUGACUCUUAAGGAGGUGCUCUAAAAGACUCUUAGGGUGUGAUUUUUUCAUGUUUAAAUAUUUAGUCCAUCUAGAAUUAUUGAGAUUUCCCUGUGUGAGGUAGGCAUUGGACUUCAUUUUUUUCCCAAAUCAAUAUCAAUUAUUGGAUUGAUAUUGGAUCAAUAUCAUUUAUUGGAAAUUGUGCCUGGUCUGUCACCACUCUCUUCUAAGCUGCUUGGAGGCUGUUAUUCAGAAUGUAUCACAAGCACACAAAUGAUCAAUUCACAAUAAAUGGACUAAAGAACCCAUGGGCAUCACCAUCACUGGGGAUUUGACACUUAGCGCUGGCACAAUGUGAGACAAACCCAACACCCACUCGUGAUGACACCAUUCAGACCCCAGGGAAAUGCAGGGAGGCUGUGAACCAGCCUUAGAGUUCGCAGGGGAUUUGAACACGAAUUGGGAAGGUUUCU